GGUUCACGCAUGAACGACCAGCGAGCCUCACUACCGCAGUUUCCAGGUCUCAACUCCCAAGCCGUUAUCAACCAAUACCUCCGCGAGAGAAACGUUAACGACGUACCAGACGACAGCUUCUUUGAAAUGCUCAUGCGUUGUCAGGGAUCCCGGAUUGAUGAUCAGCGUAGUGCCCUACCACACAACCGCCCCGCCCCAACCGUCCCAGACGAAGAUUUCUUCGGGCUGAUCCAGAAGGUCCAGUCAAGCCGUCUGGAGGAGCAGAUAACCAGUCUACCCGAUAAGGAUGAAAUCUCGCCUCCCCAACAGGCCUCCGUGAAGAAGAAAAAGAAAUAAUGACUAUUCUAGUUUGAGUCCCAUAUGAGCGAGCAAGGAAUCAGGGGAUUAGGCUUUCAACUGGAUCAGCUUUUUAGAUGUUUUUAGAUGAAAUACUUGCGCUGAACCCUUGGAAUAUAAACUGCGUAUUUAGAUGAGAUAGUCUUGCGCUGAACCCUUGGAAUAUAAACUGCGUAUUUAGAUGAGAUAGUCUUGCGCUGAACCCUUGGAAUAUAAACUGCGUAUUUAGAUGAGAUAGUCUUGCGCUGAACCCUUGGAAUAUAAACUGCGUAUUUAGAUGAGAUAGUCUUGCGCUGAACCCUUGGAAUAUAAACUUCUACUGGCUGGAAUUGAGGGUUUUGUGCAAAAUUGUAUCAGAUAUUUAAUGUAUCAGUUAUAAGAAAUGUUUUGCUCUUAAAUUAUGUGAGAUAUUGACUGCUACUGGUCAGAAGUUCUGCAUGGAGAUUAUGAGAUUGGACGAACGGAAUGAUUUGGUCCAUGGGACUCUGACUUGAAAGCCUUUGUGUGUUCACUAGAUAGGCUGCUAAAUAUGGCUAUUGCUGAUAUUUCUUCUACACAAUCUGUCCAUUCACAUUCUACCUGAUUGUGAGUACCUCCAUUCUACAAAACGGUUCUACUGGUGGAAGAUGUUGUGGAGUUUCAACAUUUUUCAUAGAUCUCAAUUUCGCACUGCAAAUCCCUUUUCAGACUCAUGUUGAUUGAUGACUCAUGAAGACUUCAAUUUGAAUAUGGAAAUCACGAAGAAAACACGCUUCUUUUAAUAAGUUUAAUAUGUUGGUAAAGUUUGUGUUAGAAGUUCACUUGGAAAUUCAAAUGUUUCUUAGUUUUUAUGCCCCCCUUCGAAGAAGAGGGGGUAUAUUGUUUUGCCCAUGUCGGUCGGUCGGUCCGUACGUCCGUCAGUCCGUCCACCAGAUGGUUUCCGGAUGAUAAGUCAAGAACGCUUAGGUCUAGGAUCAUGAAACUUAAUACAUAGAUUGAUCAUGACUAGCAGAUGACCCCUUUUGAUUUUUAGGUCACUAGGUCAAAGGUCAAGGUCACAGUGACUCGAAAUAGUAAAAUGGUUUCCGGAUGAUAACUCAAGAAUGCUCAGGUCUAGGAUCAUGAAACUUUAUAGGUACAUUGAUCAUGACUAGCAGAUGAACCCUAUUGAUUUUCAGGUCACUUGGUCAAAGGUCAAGGUCACAGUGAUUCUAAACAGUAAAAUGGUUUACGGAUGAUAACUCAAGAAUGCUUACGCCUAGUUUUGUUUUGUUUUUCUCUUUUGUAUCCUUUAUAUGUAAAAUGAAACAGUGUUUUGGUCAAAAGAAGCCCUUUUGUAUUUAUUGUUUUAUAUCCAACUUUCCAAUAAAACAAUUGAAAUUAGCUUUUAAUCAAUUGCAGAGUAAGUAUCGUAAGAAUUAUUGUAGUAAUUGUUACAAUAUAAUAACAGUGUUUUCAAGUACUAAUGUAGGUCUUUGUUAGGUUAUUAUUUAUGCCCCCCUUCGAAGAAGAGGGGGUAUAUUGUUUUGCACAUGUCGGUCUGUCUGUCUGUAUGUAUGUAUGUAUGUCCGUCCAUCAGAUGGUUUUCGGAUGAUAACUCAAGAACGCAUACGCCUAGGAUCAUGAAACUUCAUAGGUAGAUUGAUCAUGACUCGCACAUGACCCCUAUUGAUUUUGAGGUCACUAGGUCAAUGUCACGGUGACCCGAAAUUAUAGUAAAAUGGUUUCCGGAUGAUGACUCAAGAACACAUACGCCUAGGAUCAUGAAACCUCAUUGUUAGAUAGAUAAUGACUCGCAGAUGACCCCUAUUGAUUUUGAGGUCACUAGGUCAAAGGUCACGGUGACCCAAAAUAGUAAAAUGGUUUUCGGAUGAUACUCAAGAACGCUUACGCCUAGGUUCAUGAAACUUCAUAGGUAUAUUGAUCAUGACUCGCAGAUGACUCAUAUUGAUUUUCAGGUCAAAGGUCAAGGUCACGGUGACCCGAAACAGUAAAAUUGAUUCUGGAUGAUAACUCAAGAACGCUUUUGCCUAGGAUCAUGACACUUCAUAGGUACAUUGAUCAUGACUCGCAGAUGACCCCUAUUGAUUUUCAGGUCAAUAGGUCAAAGGUCAAGGUCACAGUGACAAAAAACGUAUUCACACAAUGGCUGCCACUGCAACAGACAGCCCAUAUGGGGGGCAUGCAUGUUUUUCAAACAGCCCUUGUAACAAUCAAAUUGUAUGUAACGUUCAUUUAUCAUGUUAUACCCAUAAU